GCUCUGAGGUCCCUAGUGCCGCCUGCAGC
rnacentral:piRNA from 1 species